AUUGAACGCUGGCGGCAGGCCUAACACAUGCAAGUCGAGCGAGCGGCGGACGGGUGAGUAAUGUAUGGGGACUGACCGAUAGAGGGGGAUAACUACUGGAAACGGUAGCUAAUACCGCAUACUAUCGGAUAACCCAUAUGGGAUUAGCUAGUAGGUGAGGUAAUGGCUCACCUAGGCGACGAUCCCUAGCUGGUCUGAGAGGAUGAUCAGCCGCACUGGGACUGAGACACAGCCAGAGCUCGUCGGGGGGCAGCGUUGGGGAAUAUUGCAAGAUGGGCGCAAGCCUGAUACAGCCAUGCCCCGUGUAUGAAGAAGGCCCUAGGGUUGUAAAGUACUUUGAGUCGGGAGGCGUUACCGAAAGAAGAUACACCUGCUAACUCCGUGCCAGCAGCCGCGGUAAUUC
rnacentral:rRNA from 1 species